rnacentral:rRNA from 1 species
UACGGAGGGUGCAAGCGUUAUCCGGAUUCACUGGGUUUAAAGGGUGCGUAGGCGGUUAAGUAAGUCCGUUGUGAAAUCUCUGAGCUUAACUCAGAAACUGCCGUGGAUACUAUUUGCCUUGAAUAUUGUGGAGGUGAGCGGAAUAUGUCAUGUAGCGGUGAAAUGCUUAGAUAUGACAUAGAACACCAAUUGCGAAGGCAGCUCACUACACAAUCAUUGACGCUGAGGCACGAAAGCGUGGGGAUCAAACAGG